rnacentral:lncRNA from 1 species
AUGUACAGUGCUUUGCUGUUCCACAAUUUCCUCUAGGUUUGUGCAGUAUCAUGUUUCAACAUAGCCACUUACAGUUUACCAGUCUUUAAUCAUGUUUUCACUAUACUUCACAAAACGUUGUUACCCUUUACUCUCUUCCCAGGACAAGAUAUUCUAAUACUAUAGAGCAGUCAGAAAGUGUUCAAGCAAGAGCACCAAGCAUCUCCAAUCAUCACAGCAGAACAGCAAUGGUGCACAGGUAACAUUUAUGUUGUAUAUACUGUAAUAUUAGUGCACACAGAAUAAGAAAUGAAUGAACACAACUACUGACUCUAAAUAACACCAGAGGUGCACUUCCUUGUCACAUGACUUCCAAGGUCCACAUAAACCCUUCAUUCGGGAACAAAUAAAGAAC